CCCUUAGAUGUUCUGGGCCGCACGCGCGCUACACUGAUGCAUUCAACGAGUCUAAAACCUGCUCUGAUAGGGGUGGGUAAUCUUUUGAAUGUGCAUCGUGAUUGGGAUAGAUGAUUGCAAUUUUUCAUCUUCAACGAGGAAUGCCUAGUAAACGCAAGUCAUCAGCUUGCAUUGAUUACGUCCCUGCCCUUUGUACACGCCGCCCGUCGCUCCUACCGAUUGAAUGAUCCGAUGAAUAUCAUAGACUGAGAGUAUAAGCAGGUUCGCCUGUCUUUGCUUCUCGGGAAGUGAAGUAAAUCUUAUCAUUUAGAGGAAGGAGAAGUCGUAACA
rnacentral:rRNA from 1 species